rnacentral:ncRNA from 3 species
UAGCAGCACAUAAUGGUUU